ACUGCAGACGACUGUUUGGAGAUGCCCCACAAAAGCCUGCUGUCUGUGAAGGAGGGUGGUCACAAGCAACCCAUCCACCUUAUAAUUCUGUGGCCUUGGUAGUUGUUUUUCUUCCUGUAAUCUCUCUAGUUCUUUUGAUAAGCAGAUGGUCUUUGUCUUAUAAACAACUGGUCGCCACAUGAGGAGCUGCAGACAAAGCUAGGUAUGGAAGGUUAUUGCUAAAUGCGGUAAAAGUCUUACUAGGAUAGGAGCCAAAUCAAUCUGCAUAUGAGAAGCCACAGCUGGAUCACUGGGUUUUGAAUAAAUGAGAAUUAGCCUAAUUCAUUGCAAUUUUUUUUUUAUUUUUUUUUUCCUCAGAAGCAACAGAUUUAAAAGCCCUAGUCCGAAUGUAUAAAACAAAACCCCAGAAGUGCUGUACAUCCUACAGGUACUUCACUGCAUGGUAUCGGGCCUUGUGUGCACAGACAGGCUCCAGCCUCCUUCCCUUUGCUCUGCCUGCUGCUCCUAAAGGUCACUUUGAUAUGGUGGAGUUGUGUAACGUGGGAUCAGGCCACUUUGAAGAGCAAAGUGUGACAGAGCCACAGACUGCUCUCUGGGGCCUCUUACCCCAGGCCCAGGCCCUUGCUAUCAGUCCUUGCCCGAGUCGCCUCGCAGAUAUGCGAGUGCCUGGUUGUAUGCUUUGCUGAUCUCAUCCUUGCCUUGCUGAUUUGGCAUGCCAGCUUGAAGGCUUCAUCCCUACAGAUAUGUCUGGAGAUCACCAGACUCUGCCUGGUCUCUGCCAUCAGAGCUGCUCCAUGGCUGCGGACAUGCUGGGACUGCAGCUUGUAUCAGCCUUUGCUGAAUGUUUAUGGAGACCAAACACUGGAUGUCAGCACAGUGAGGUGGUGGUUGGUGUGCUUCAACAGUGACAACAGUGGGUCACUUCUGAUUUUUAUGAGCAUGGAAGGCAGGCUCUCAUUCAUCACUGAUGGAAAUGCAUAGCUAAUGAUGGUGGUCUACAUCCUCCGUGUGCAGAGUCAGCACUGCAGUACCGUGUAUUCCCCUGUCCAGAAAGGCAAGUGCAGUCCCAACUGUGUAGAAGAACAGCAGUAAAGAAGUAACUGACAUCCUAGAAUUCAUAUUCAGGAAAUAAGUAGCCAAGUAAGAAACAAACUGACAAGCUGACAUAGAACUAAGUAAUUCCCCCUAACAAAUUCUUUAGGAUCAGAGUAGAGGAUGUCUCUGUUUCUAGCUCAUGCAGGUGAUUCUGUAGGCUUGGCUGGAUGCUCAUCCUCUUACUCCUUUUGUGCAUCCUACACCAGAAGGAGUAACACAAAGCAUACAGUUACAGGUGGACGUGCUAAAACAUGUCCAAGUUGCUGCAGGUAAGACACAAGCAGAGUGAAAAAAAAUCUUUUUAUUUAUCAUUCACUGGAAAUAUAGGGCUCUUUUCUCCUUCAGACAGUACUGAGAGGUAAACUAUGAUUCUCCCAUACAAUGGGUUUUUGUUUUCUCACAGACUCCUUGCACACUGCCAAUCCUUGGUAGUGCAAAACUAACCUAACAUUUCUCAUUUUUGCUGUUUCCACUGAAUGGUUUACUCAAAUCCUACCAGACUGGUACUUCCAUCCUAAGUGCUUACAACAGAACAACAUUUUCCUCCUGAUUUAAAAUCUCCCUCAGUUUUGCUGCACCAUGUCUCCUUUUUAUUUUUAAAAGAAACUUGAAGUGACUGUUUUCCCAGAUUUUCCCUUCAGUUUAGCCACCUCUAACCUUUCUUUCAAAGCUUUAUUGUAGUGUUCAGUCCUUCGUUAGCUAGAGGAUAGUGUGCUGAUUGUUGCGUAUGUACAAUGCCUCCUCUUUUCCCCAGGAAAAAUAUUGAAAUUGUAAAGAUAUGAAUUGUCAUAUGUUACUGGACAUUAGUUUUCUGAGCUUCUUUUUCUGCUGAAAACAAUAAACAGAAAGUCAUGACCAAAGUAGACAGACCCAAUAGAGGCUACUUUUACUUCUGGCCACUUACUGAAAAAUCUAUUAGCUUGACACCGCCACAAUAGUAAAUGGCAAGUGAGCAGCAAGGUCUAUAAUGUUCAUUGCAAGCUUUUUCUACAUUUACUUAAAUAAGAAGAUAGGGUGAGGUAGGCCUGGAAAACUCACUUUGUUUUGUCAUGUGAUAAAAACUUUCAGAGUAGCCUGAGUAUUCACUCUGUCUACUGAUGGAGAAGCUAUAAUCACUGUUAUGACAACCCACUGAUGUGUGUCAUGAGCAACGUGUAUUGAUUCUGCCUAUAAUUCUUCCAGAAUAAUAGAUCUGUGAGUUGUUCCCAUGUCUUGCAGAGAAAGUUCACUCUAGUUCAAAAUAGAACAGGGAUGAAUUAGAUUUGUUAUGAUUAUUAGUCUAUUUUGCUGUCAGGACGCCAUGUAAUUUCUGUUGAACAAGACAAACUAAACAAGUAGAUUUAUAUUAUUUUUCUAAAACUGCAGCAAAUACAUAUCUGAUUUCUUCAUCAGUUUCCAUAGUAGAAGACUGUACCCGUGAGUAUUUAGAGUAUUUGG
rnacentral:lncRNA from 1 species